GUUUCAGCCGCCGCGGUAAUACAGAGGUCUCAACCGUUGUUCGGAUUCAUUGGGCGUAAAGGGUGCGUAGGCGGUCGCGCAAGUCGGAUGUGAAAUCUCGAGGCUCAACCUCGAAACUGCAUUCGAUACUGCGUGGCUAGAGUGCUGGAGGGGAGACUGGAAUUUACGGUGUAGCAGUGAAAUGCGUAGAUAUCGUAAGGAAGACCAGUGGCGAAGGCGAGUCUCUGGACAGCAACUGACGCUGAGGCACGAAGGCCAGGGGAGCAAACGGGAUUAGAAACCCUGGUAGUCC
rnacentral:rRNA from 1 species